ensembl:lncRNA
CUGAGAUUAUUACUCUCAGUGAGGAGCAGCGAGUGAACAAGCAGGGAGCCUCCUCCUCUUCAAUCUCCUCCUUCUUUUCACUUAAACACACUGAUUCCCACAGAAGCCACACACUCAGAGGCACCUCUGCUUGUUUUUAAAGUGUUUUGUCUUUUCUUUUUGUCUGUUUUUACCCGGGGGACUGUCACUUUAGCAGCACUAGGGACUUCCUCUCUUGGAGUAUAGCUUGCACACUUUUCUACUGCUUGUAUCUCGCUGAUCAUCUUUGAGUCUCAUCUGUCUUCAAGUGGACUAUGCCCCCCUCAGUAAGCUGAGGGAGGGAGCUCUGCACUGCUCAGGCUCCCAUCUGGAGAAGGCUUGAGCUGAAAUCACAGAGGACACAGUCAGAUUAUUGCUGAAGAUGCAAGCUUCAACUGCCUCACCUGUGACCAACACUACAGUUCCUUCCAACACAACCACCACUACAAAGUCCAAAGAACAAAUACUCAUCCAGAGUUCUGGGGCUAUGAUUGCUGUCAUCGUCAUAGGUAUCAUCAUCAUUCUCGCUGUUAUACUGCUCAUCCUAAAGACAUACAACAAGCGGACACAUGCUUCUAGAGUCCUGGGAGUCAGCAGUGGCUCCAAACCUCGUCCAAGGGCGUCACAAUCCACAGAUCAGAGCAACAUGCGGCUGAGCACCAUGGGAGUCAACUCUGUGUCGGGCAGCAUCACCACUUCUACCCCAGCCUCGGAGAACAGCUUACCGCUGCCCAGAGUGGAGUUGAACAGCGCAGAGGGAAACCACAUAGAGCAGUUCAGCACCACAAGUGGAUCCACUGUGGUCACCAUACACAACACGCCACUGGUAGACAACACAUAGCACCAGGCUGGGGUUUAGUCUCACAACAGGCAUUGACUGAUGUGUUGGCUUCGUCUGUGACCGCAUACUAUGUGCUGACUGAAUCCUGUGGAAACCCAAUCUGUGACAUUAGCGUUGUCUCUGAAGGAGGGUCCACCAACUGAACCACGGCUGAUGAAUAUAUAGAUAACAAGAUGUCUUUUCUAUGUACAGAAAUAUAUAUUAUGAACAAAAUGGAAUAAAAGACAGACACAAGAAGGAUGUUGCAUGAUGGAAAACAGACUUUUUUGGCUCCAGUCAGUGUUCAGAGUACAGAUGCCAUAUGUUUCUCACAGUUGGGUACUUUUACUUGAAGUUUUGUCUACUAAUACAAUGAAGUAAAUGUGUAGUAUAGACAUUGCUUGACGAUGUUGCUCUUAAGUGUCUACAUUUCUGUACUAAAGAAAAACCAUGCAUGUUCACAGGUAAAUGUAGAUUUAAUGCACACUGUAGAAGAGUCAAAGACCACAUGAAGGAAGCUAAUGCAGUAUGACUGAGAAAAUAUACUGGUAUUUCAUAUUUCUUUUGAUCAGUUACACUGUUUUCUCUAAUGUGGUUUGUCUGGCAUCUUGCUGUCUGUGUCUCCCUCCCACAGAUUCUCAGAUUAGCCUUUGUUCUUUUUAUUUUUUAUUUUUUAUGAUGUGAGUCCUUUUUAAUUUGUCACCAAAGGAUCUGGCACUUUAUUUCGAUUGCUCUCUCUAUUUGUAUUAUUUGUGUUUGUUUAUGAAAUGAGAUUAAAAUCAAAUUUUAUUUGUAAUUUCUAAUUGUGGUUGACGGUUUCUUAUUUAUAUAGAGGAAUGCAGUAAAACUGAGAAUAAAC